CUCGGCUGCCCGGAGGGCUGUUUGGUAAUUUGAGCUCUGUUUUAUUGACAGCCGCAUUAUAAUCAGGUUUUUACGGAAGAAGAUUUUAGCUGGCAGGGGAAACUACAAAGGCAUGCUCCAACAUGUUAUUCGCAACUUUUGUGAGGAGAGGCUUACAUGCAGGAAUCAGCCUUACCGUGAACAGAGCAUUUGUUCGGACUGUUCUUUAUUAUGUUAUUGAUUAUCUAGUGCAGGAAGAAAGAAGAGAAAAAGAAACAAUUUGCAGUUCUCAGCUGUGAAGCCUUUUGUGUAGUGAGAUUAUAGUUUCUCAGCUGUGAGGUCCUUUGUGUAGUGAGAUCAUGAGACAUUUUUGCCACAGGAGGACACAUCAUCCCAGUGGCACCAGUCGGACUUGCUUCUCAUGCCAUUACUGGCUGAACCUGAGAUUUCUGGUCCACACUUCUCUGUGCUGACAAGGCCUCAGAAGGUUUCCUUUUGUCAGCUAUUUCCUGACCUUGUCUCCUGGAUUUUGAUGUGGUUCCCUGGGGCUUCUGGGACCAUGGCUGUGUGUUCGAGGGCAAUUAUGCUUGGCUCUUUGACAACUCCAGCCUUGACAAGGGGAGGACACUCUUCAAGGUCAGAGCAAUGGUCCACAGGUGAGGAGUAAGGACAUGGCCCAGCCUGGUGGACAGCAAGGUGCAGGCAGGGGAGAGUGGGAGCUCAUCUCCCUCGGUAGUAAGGAAGACCUAGAGGGCAGAACAACACAUUGAAGGAAGGAAGACCAGGGGCCCAGAACAGCAGAAGUGCCAGGAGGCCACAGUGAGGUGGAGAAUCUGCACAGGACCUUGGAAGGACACCCGCAUGAAAAGGAGGGGAGUCAGACCCUGGGAUGUCAGGAAAAGGGCAAGGAGGACACCCACAGGCCUAAGCCAAGGCUCGCCUGGUCUAGGAAGAAUGACUCCCAUCUGUGGAAGGGCAGACUCCUCCAGAUGAGGAGAUCUCUGCAGGCAAGACAGUCCUACCCAUAAUGCUUUACAAGCAGGUGACAUAAAAGGAGCAUCACUAAGGAAUGGUCACAAGCAAGACCCUGAAAGGGCCAGUGGGCCACGAGAAGCAAGGGAGCCGGCUCAGGAAGGUAGGAAGUUUGAGGCCCAAGGGGAAUCAAUGGGUGACAAAGUGGGCAGAGAGGUCCUGGCAGGAGGAAACCACAGUACCUGCAGUCUCUCCCUGGCCAGGGCUGGGACUGGGACUGGGACCAGGGCCACUCCAGGCUUGGGGGUGAGGAGCCUAGUCAAGGAGAGAAGCAGACAAAGGUACCUGUCCCUCCCUGUGGGGCAGAGGAACCUGCUGUAACUCCAGGGCUCCUGCCUGCCUUGUGCCUGCACCAGGCUGCUGGUGAACACCAGACUUGGUCUUUCUUGUGUCUUUUCUCUAGGUCUCCCCUCAGCUGCCUGGACUCCCCAUAGAGACAGCACGCUGGAGAUGUCUACAGCAGACAUUGGGUGGUGGAUUCAGUGUGUCAGGUAUUGCACAGUAACCACCACGUGCAUGCUCUAGCCCCAUGGUAAGUGUGAGGUGGCUCAGCCCUAGGGACAGUGGGGUGGCUUCUUGGCAUUUCCCACAGAGUGAGGACAGCCCCCUCUUUCACUGAAUGCACCCAAAUGGCGCUUGCUCAGCUGCACAACUGCCACUUUCUCCACUUACACACAACUUCUGGUCCUAUUCCAUGCACAGUGCUGACAUGGAAAAUCCACGAGGUGUUACAUUUUUGUAUUAAACAAUGAGCAUUAUCUUUAAUGUAUGGGCCUUUUACUAGGUAAGGAAACUCUGCAGAUGAAGCUUAAAAUAAAGGGUAAGUUUAUUACCCAUUUAGAACUAAUACAAAUAUAGAACAAUAUGGAUACCUUUUACUGCAAUAUGGUUAGGUUUACAUAUAUGCUUACCACCCUAAGAAAUAACAAGCAUGACAUCAGUGGUUGAUAAGUUUCUGAAGUCUUGUCCAGGGGCUCCCAACUUCUACCUUUUAAGUUUUGUGCAGGGUAGAUUUUUAGUUUCAGGAUUAAUGUUGAAGGUUUUUAGAGCAGGUUGUCCCUGAUCCCAGGCUGGCUUCCCAACUUCAUAUCCAUUUUGUUUGUUUUUAAGUUUUUAUUUUAAUACACACCCAUAUUUUAUAGUAAUUUAUUUACAUUACACAUUUUUAUAGAAACCUUAUAUUUUACAUAACAGCUGUUCUUCGUAUGGUUUGCCUUGCCUUUAGAGGGUUUUUAUUUGUCCAAGUCCAUAUGUUGUUUUUUUUUUUUGUUUUUAAGGGUUUGUUUUGUUUUGUUUUUAACUAAUGUUGUAUUCUUAAUUGAUUCUGACUUAGCAAACUGCAUUUCACAUACAGAACUCCCAUUGCUGGACAAGAGCCAAGCUACUUAUGUCAAGAUGACUGUAUUUGGGGCUAACAAAAUCCCUGUUUGGUAACAUUAUAUUUGAGAUCAUUUUGAUAGAAUGUAUACCUUUUUGUUCCAUUUUGGGCCCCAAAUUGGGGUCGGCUAUAUACUGAAAAUGCAUUUUUCAUAGCUUUAGUUUUUUUGAAUUCAGCAGAUUAAAAUGAUUGUAAAACAUAUGAUUAGAAUUUGGAUGCCAAUUGCUACCACGAUUGGGUGAAGAAGUAUGUUAAGGAAACUUUGAGUAAUAAUAGGGCUCCAUUCGAACAAAACUUUCCACCAAGAAUGCUGUGCAGUUUGGUUUUCUGGGGUUUUUUUUGUUUGUUUACCUUUCUUAAUAACUUUAACAGGUUUUGAUUAUUAUACAUUACCUGCACAACAGUUUUUAAGCAUUUGGAUUAUUUAGUGUGGCACAAAAUAAGCAAAAUCACAUCCACUAAUAGAUCAAAAAAGUAGAAAAACAUUAAUUAAUAUAAAAAUGCAUUAAAACCGAUUGAACCUGGCUAAGCAACACACAGGGACAAUGCAUCUACACAAACACAUUCUUGUCUGGCAUAAACUAUGGCAGUGUAAUUUUUACUGAUUAAAUUAAAGAACAUUGCUGAAUUGCAUAUUGUUUAUAAAGAUAUUUGUUUUGAAUUUGAAAAUUUUUAUUUUUCACACAUAUUUUACAUUUUUAUGUACUAAACAAUUCUUUGGUGCCAAUAGUUUUUCACUUGUUUUUUGCUUCUUGAAUACACAUUUAUGAUGGUUAUGGGGGUACAUAAUGAUUUCUUUUUUAAUGUCAAGCCCUACAGACACUAAUUAGAUGGGUACAGUAACUGAAUGAGCAAUGUCACAGGGUACCCCCAAUUUUUUUGUUCUAAAUACCCUCUUUUUGGGCCAUCUGCCUAGCUCUCACCCACCAUGCCUUGAUGGUAGUUAAAAUACAGAGUGCGGGAGGCUGCCCUGGUCUUAUUACACUGACCACCCGGAUUGUGAUCCUGAUCUUAUGGGCCAACUGCAUGGCUCUGUACCUCCCCUACACCAUGCCCCAUGCUUUGCAGGUGGCAUCCUUACAGAUGUUCAACCAAUUGCUGAUGGCCUUCUGACCCCUCAGGCUCUCUUAGCUCCACUCUGGGCCUUCAGACCUGAAUUGUGAAAGGCAAACCCAGAUUUCAGGCUGAUGCCAAAGCCCACAGAGUACUACACUUUGGCUUAUAUUGUUCCUUUUUCCUUGAAGGCAGCAAGUGUUGCGUGCCACUGUGGAAGGUGGAACUCAUUCAUUCUUAGAGCAAUUAGCUAGUGAGGUUUUCUGAACACAACCCAGUAACCUAGAAUUAUAUGUAACAUUUAAAUACCAAUAAGACUUCUUUGUGGGUGAUAAGAAUAUUUCUUCAUUUUUAUAAAGAUCUCACACGUUUCCAUUUUGUAGAUACCAUUUUGUGGAACAAGUUGUUUUGUCAACUAAAAAUUCCCAUAUAAAUUGUUCUUCCUCUUUUCAAGGAUUAGAACAUUCUUUUACUUCAAAUUGGAUAGAAGUGUCCUGUUCUGGGAUCCACAGACACGACCAAUUUUUAGAGCCAAGAUUAUUUUUUAUUUUAAUUACACUUACAUGGUAUGUACCAGUUGCUAAGUUAAAAUUCACCAAAACAAUACACAUAAAAUAAACAACAUAAACAUACAAUACAUUUUGGUCAUAGCAGCAAAGCCAUGGUGUACGUGAAGAAGGUGGUAUCAAUGCUGGCAAAGUGUUGUACAUUGUUUAUAAUUCUAGAAUGAAAUGUAAACAAUGAAUUUCUCCUUUAUGGGAAUCAAGGCCUGCACAAUAUACUUCAGUGAUGAAUGGAUAGUUUUAACAAUAGUAAGCCUGCACCUUAGCUCUGUGGAUGUUUGCAUGCCCACAAACAUUUGGAACUGGGCUGCAAACAGUGUGUAAGUGCCACAAACAGGAGUGAUGUAACUGGGAAAGGGCCAUUUGGGUGCAUAAACUGGAGGUUACCAUUAAUAUCCCCAGUGGAAGUGGAUUCUGCCCUAUGAGCACACCUGGGCAAUCAACAUGGAGCAGCUGACACACUGUGAAUCCAUGCCUCACUCAGCUUCCUUUGUGGCAUCUUCUCCAUGGAGCCAUACCCUUGAUGGAAAAUGCCAGAACUCCUGGAUCAGGAUGUGAAGAUCAACAUUUGAAAAGCCCAGGAGAACCCCAUGCCAACAACCCACAGACCUCCUGGGCCAUUACUUAGAGAGCAGGAGAAGACCUGUGCAGCCCAGAGCUGGCGGAAACAGAAGAGCAUGCUCAGUAGCAAGACAUCACCUUUGUUAUAGAAGGUUAAAAGAGCUUGAAGCAUGUAGCUCAGCAAGAAGGAAAGAGAGAGGACAGUAUGAUGAUCAGCGGAGCUCUGCUUCACCCAUCCUUGUGUGUCAUUUCUGGAGUUCUGAGCUUGUUGCCCCAGUUGGGGUACAGUGUGGAAGGUGUGAGAUAAUCCCAUGCUCCAGGGCUUUUACUUCAUGGGGCCAGGAAGGAAUUUCCACCCCCACCCCCCCUCAUGUUUACUGUAGGCUUCUGGGGUUUUUUUGCCUUCCUCUGAAGCAUUUGGAUGCUGGCCACAGCUGAGGCUGGGAUUUGACUGGGCUGCACGGAUGCUCCUACCAGGACUUAAGAGAUCCCAGAGGCUCCUGGCUUGACAGUCUUGGUCUUUUGCUCAAGGUCAUACUGAUUGCCAUAUUUGGGGUCAGGGUGGAAUUUUACCCCAUGGUCACAUUGGCAGGGACUGUGGGGGGGUUUGCCUUUCUCUGUAGCGUGGGCAUAGUCCUCUUCCUAGGAUCUCCUGGACAUAUUUUAACCAACUACUUCCCUGCUGUUACAGGGGCAGGGCACUGGCAGUACCAUCAUUCCCCCGGCUUUCACCUGUGGCACGUUAUAGGGAGCUCUUUCUGUUUGGAACAUUGUGCCUGGUAGUAUAUGGUAGGAUUUUUAGUGGGAGGGGUUUUAAGUUCCUUGGUUAUGAUGGUUUUUGGAUGCAGAAAACAUGACUGGAUAGCUCAGGAGACUCCUCCUGCUCCUAUGUUUUCAUGUUCCCACCCCAACAUGAAGAAAAGAUGAUCUGCUGUUUUUAAAUGUAUGAACUCCACAAUAAAAGGUCUGUUUUCUGUUCC